rnacentral:rRNA from 1 species
UGACCUGCGGAAGGAUCAUUAAUGAGAACUUGCCCUUCGGGGUAGAUCUCCCACCCUCUGUUUACAUACUUUGUUGCUUUGGCAGGCCCGUCUUCGGACCGCCGGCUUCGGCUGGCCCGUGCUUGCCAGAGGAUUCAAAACUCUGAUAAUUAUGUCGUCUGAGUACUAUUAUAAAUAGUUAAAACUUUCAACAACGGAUCUCUUGGUUCUGGCAUCGAUGAAGAACGCAGCGAAAUGCGAUAAGUAAUGUGAAUUGCAGAAUUCAGUGAAUCAUCGAAUCUUUGAACGCACAUUGCGCCCUCUGGUAUUCCGGGGGGCAUGCCUGUUCGAGCGUCAUUACAACCCUCAAGCUCUGCUUGGUGUUGGGCCUCGCCGGUUCGGCGGGCCUCAAAAUCAGUGGCGGUGCCAUCUGGCUUCAAGCGUAGUAAAUUCUCUCGCUUCAGGAGACCCAGGUGUGUGCUUGCCAGCAACCCCCAACUUCUAUGGUUGACCUCGGAUCAGGUAGGGAUACCCGCUGAACUUAAGCAUAUCAAUAAGCGGAGGAAAAGAAACCAACAGGGAUUGCCUCAGUAACGGCGAGUGAAGCGGCAACAGCUCAAAUUUGAAAUCUGGGCCUCACGGCCCGAGUUGUAAUUUGUAGAGGAUGCUUCGGAUGCGGUCCGGUCUAAGUUCCUUGGAACAGACGUCAUAGAGGGUGAGAAUCCCGUAUGUGACCGGGUGCCAACUCCAUGUGAAGCUUCUUCGACGAGUCGAGUGUUUGGGAAUGCAGCUCAAAAUGGGUGGUAAAUUUCAU